rnacentral:rRNA from 1 species
GAUGAACGCUGGCGGCGUGCCUAAUACAUGCAAGUCGAGCGAACGGACGAGAAGCUUGCUUCUCUGAUGUUAGCGGCGGACGGGUGAGUAACACGUGGAUAACCUACCUAUAAGACUGGGAUAACUUCGGGAAACCGGCGCUAAUACCGUAUAAUAUUUUGAACCGCAUGGUUCAAAAGUGAAAGACGGUCUUGCUGUCACUAAUAGCUGGAUCCCCGCUGCAUUAGCUAGUUGGUACGGUAACGGCUUACCAAGGGGAGCAUGCGUAAACGACCUGAGAGGGGGGUAGGCCGCAUGGGAGGUGAGACGGGGUCCAGGCUCCUACGGGAGGCAGCAGUAGGGAAUGUGCCGCAGUGGGCGAAAGCCUGACGGAGCGACGCCGCGUGAGUGGUGAAGGUGUUCGGAGCGUGAAGCUGUGUUAUUAGGGGAGAACAGAUGUGUAAGUAACUGUGCAGAUCUUGACGGUACCGGGUCAGAAAGCCACGGCUAACUACGUG